CGGACGGGUGAGUAACGCGUGAGAAUCUGCCUUCAGGAUGGGGACAACAGUUAGAAAUGACUGCUAAUACCCAAUGAGCCGCAAGGUAAAAGAUUUAUCGCCUGAAGAGGAGCUCGCGUCCGAUUAGCUAGUUGGGGUGGUAAAAGCGCACCAAGGCAACGAUCGGUAGCUGGUCUGAGAGGAUGAGCAGCCACACUGGGACUGAGACACGGCCCAGACUCCUACGGGAGGCAGCAGUGGGGAAUUUUCCGCAAUGGGCGCAAGCCUGACGGAGCAAUACCGCGUGAGGGAGGAAGGCUUUUGGGUUGUAAACCUCUUUUCUCAAGGAAGAAGAACUGACGGUACUUGAGGAAUCAGCAUCGGCUAACUCCGUGCCAGCAGCCGCGGUAAUACGGAGGAUGCAAGCGUUAUCCGGAAUUAUUGGGCGUAAAGCGUCCGCAGGUGGUGCAUCAAGUCUGCUGUCAAAGACCAGGGCUUAACCCUGGGCAGGCGGUGGAAACUGGUGGACUAGAGUACGGUAGGGGUAGAGGGAAUUCCCAGUGUAGCGGUGAAAUGCGUAGAGAUUGGGAAGAACACCAGUGGCGAAGGCGCUCUACUGGACCUGUACUGACACUCAGGGACGAAAGCUAGGGGAGCGAAAGGGAUUAGAUACCCCUGUAGUC
rnacentral:rRNA from 1 species